UACGUAGGGGACGAGCGUUGUCCGGAAUUACUGGGCGUAAAGGGCGCGCAGGCGGUAUAUCAAGUCAGCUGUCAAAGACUGGGGCUCAACCCUGGUAUGCGGUUGAAACUGAUAUGCUGGAGUGCUGUAGAGGCAAGUGGAAUUCCCAGUGUAGCGGUGAAAUGCGUAGAUAUUGGGAAGAACACCGGUGGCGAAGGCGACUUGCUGGGCAGCAACUGACGCUGAGGCGCGAAAGCGAGGGGAGCAAACGGGGAUUAGA
rnacentral:rRNA from 1 species